GAUGAACGCUGGCGGCGUGCCUAAUACAUGCAAGUCGAGCGAACAGAUGAGGAGCUUGCUCCUCUGACGUUAGCGGCGGACGGGUGAGUGACACGUGGAUAACCUACCUAUAAGACUGGGAUAACUUCGGGAAACCGGAGCUAAUACCGGAUAAUAUAUUGAACCGCAUGGUUCAAUAGUGAAAGACGGUUUUGCUGUCACUUAUAGAUGGAUCCGCGCCGCAUUAGCUAGUUGGUAAGGUAACGGCUUACCAAGGCAACGAUGCGUAGCCGACCUGAGAGGGUGAUCGGCCACACUGGAACUGAGACACGGUCCAGACUCCUACGGGAGGCAGCAGUAGGGAAUCUUCCGCAAUGGGCGAAAGCUUGACGGAGCAACGCCGCGUGAGUGAUGAAGGUCUUCGGAUCGUAAAACUCUGUUAUUAGGGAAGAACAAAUGUGUAAGUAACUAUGCACGUCUUGACGGUACCUAAUCAGAAAGCCACGGCUAACUACGUG
rnacentral:rRNA from 1 species